rnacentral:tRNA from 1 species
CGGGGCGUGGCGCAGCCUGGUAGCGCACUUGCAUGGGGUGCAAGGGGUCGCAGGUUCAAAUCCUGUCGCCCCGACCA